rnacentral:tRNA from 1 species
UGCGGUGCACUCGUGGAGUGGCGAAAACUGCUUUUAUAAAACUCAUAACCUGAAGGUCAUAGGUUCAAAUCCUAUCCCCGCAACCA